UGUUCCCUUUUCCAGAAAGAGCAAUAUUGAAACACUCAUUUUUGUCUUUCAGACAUGGAUACAGUGAAAUGGAAAUUCCUCUGGUGAGACAGGGGCUAGAAAAGCAGCAUUUCCUGGACCAGAACGAUUAGUACUCACAGAUGCUUGUAACAAUUAUGAUAGACAAAAAAUAUAUGAUAAAUAUGAUCCCGAAGAACACUGCUGUAAAGAGCACCUUAGUACGUAAUCACUGAAUGGUUUGGAUUGGAAGGGACCUUGAAGACCACCUAGUUCCAACCCCUUCUGUGGACAGAGACACCUUCCACUAGACCAGGUUGAAUUCCUACUGAGGUUUUCUUCAAAAACUGCUUUGUACUCGGUGCAAACAGCUGAGAAUGGGGGUCUAACUAAGGACAAGAAGUGGCUCCCUGAGAAAAGCCAGGAGAGUAAUGCCAGGAAUGGCUCUUGGUCCCCAUGCAUGAACAUCUUCUCCUUCCACGGGGAAUCUACCUUUCCUGGGAGGAAGCUAGCACCAUUUAUCUUAUAUACAACUGUCUUAUAAGUUUUGGAAACACAUUGAGGGUGAUACUGAAGAAUUCUGCCUUGAAUUUCUGCUCGGACAGGAAAACACAGCAGUGA
rnacentral:lncRNA from 1 species